AGCACAGCUCCUAGCAGCUCUGGAGCUUCCUCUUCUCAGCCUGAGGGAGGGUCUGCAGCACCUGCCUCUGAUGUCUGAGGCAGACGAGUGGCCGUGGUCCCAGAACGUAGACCAGAAGUUCUGGGACCAACAGACUGAAAUCCUCCUCAGAGCCACUUCAUCCAU